GCCUACGGGGGGCAGCAGUAGGGAAUUUUCGUCAAUGGGCGCAAGCCUGAACGAGCAAUGCCGCGUGAACGAGGAAGGUCUUCGGAUCGUAAAGUUCCGUUGAAGGGGAAAAAGAGCGGAGAGAGGAAAUGGUCUCCGAUUGAUAUUACCCUUCGAGGAAGUCACGGCUAACUACGUGCCAGCAGCCGCGGUAAUACGUAGGUGGCGAGCGUUAUCCGGAAUGAUUGGGCGUAAAGGGUGCGUAGGCGGCCUGCUAAGUCUGGAGUGAAAGGUACCGGCUCAACCGGUACAGGCUCUGGAAACUG
rnacentral:rRNA from 1 species